CGGUGGAGCAUGUGGCUUAAUUCGAGGCAACGCGAAGAACCUUACCUAGGCUUGACAUGGUUGGAUGUGUUCCCUGAAAGGUGACUCCGAACGCACAGGUGUGACGAGCGAAACCCCUGUCCUUAGUUGCCAGCGGGACGUCAAGUAUCACGGCCUUUAUGCCUAGGCUGCAUACAUGGCAUGUACAAGGGACGCGAACGCGCAAGCGGGAGCAUCUCAAAAAGCAUGCCCCAGUUCAGAUUGCAGUGCAACUCGCCUGCAUGAAGCCGGAAUCGCUAGUAAUCGAGAUCAGCUAUGCUGCGGUGAAUGUGUUCCUGAGCCUUGUACACACCGCCGUCAAGCCACGAAAGCGGGGAGCAUCCAAAGUCGCCGAGCUAACCGUAAGGAAGCAAGCGCCUAAGUGAGCUCCGUGAUUGGGACUAAGUCGUACAAGGU
rnacentral:rRNA from 1 species